GAUGAACGCUGGCGGCGUGCCUAAUACAUGCAAGUCGAGCGAACAGACGAGGAGCUUGCUCCUCUGACGUUAGCGGCGGACGGGUGAGUAACACGUGGAUAACCUACCUAUAAGACUGGGAUAACUUCGGGAAACCGGAGCUAAUACCGGAUAACAUGUUGAACCGCAUGGUUCAACAGUGAAAGACGGUUUUGCUGUCACUUAUAGAUGGAUCCGCGUCGCAUUAGCUAGUUGGUAAGGUAACGGCUUACCAAGGCAACGAUGCGUAGCCGACCUGAGGGGGUGAUCGGCCACACUGGAACUGAGACACGGUCCAGACUCCUACGGGAGGCAGCAGUAGGGAAUCUUCCGCAAUGGGCGAAAGCCUGACGGAGCAACGCCGCGUGAGUGAAGAAGGUCUUCGGAUCGUAAAACUCUGUUAUUAGGGAAGAACAAAUGUGUAAGUAACUAUGCACGUCUUGACGGUACCUAAUCAGAAAGCCACGGCUAACUACGUG
rnacentral:rRNA from 1 species